UCUGAAACACCGGUUUCCGUAUUGUCACCGACGUUAAGCAGCGUCGAACAGGGUUAGUACGUAGAUGGGUGACUCCUUGCGAAUAUCAGGUGCUGUAAG